CAUCAUUUAAAGAAAGCGUAAUAGCUCACUGGUCGAGUCGGCCUGCGCGGAAGAUGUAACGGGGCUAAACCAUGCACCGAAGCUGCGGCAGCGACGCUUAUGCGUUGUUGGGUAGGGGAGCGUUCUGUAAGCCUGUGAAGGUGUGCUGUGAGGCAUGCUGGAGGUAUCAGAAGUGCGAAUGCUGACAUAAGUAACGAUAAA
rnacentral:rRNA from 1 species